rnacentral:rRNA from 1 species
GACGAACGCUGGCGGCAGGCUUAACACAUGCAAGUCGAACGGAAAGUCCCUGCUUUUCGGCGGUGCUCGAGUGGCGAACGGGUGAGUAACACGUGAGUAACGUGCAGUUCUGUUUGGGAUAACGUCAGAACAGUGGGGCUAAUAGGGGAUAGGAGCUCCCGCUGCAGGGUGGGGGUGGGUAAGUUUCGGCGGUUGGGGAUGGACUCGCGGCUUAUCAGCAUGUUGGUGGGGUAGUGGAUUACCAAGGCAUGGCCGGGUAGCCGGGCUGCGAGGGUCACAGGCCACGUUGGGACUGAGAUACGGCCCAGACUCGUCCGGGAGGCAGCGGUGGGGUGUAUUGCACAAUGCGCGGAAGCCAGAUGCAGCCACGCCGCGUGCGGUAUGACGUCCUUCGGGUUGUAAACCGCUUUCGCCUGUGACGAGGCGUUAGUGACGGUAAUGGGAAAAGAAGCACCGGCUAACUACGUG